AGUUGUGUUUGCUGAGCGCAUAAAGGCUGCACAGAAAGAUUCUCUCAUGUCAAGAUCCCCUCCAAAGAGAUUGAGCCAGAUAGCAAUGCUACGAGUACUAUACAGAAACUAUACAAAUACUUAUAACCCACUCCGUGGUCUUAAUCAGAUAAUUUUUUUUGUUGGUGAUUUUCCCUAAUGUAAUUAGCUUUAAGCUUAAUGAAUACUUUGUUCGAAAAUCCUAAAGGUCGAUCCACAUAUGUUUGUUUUUUUCAGGCCGAUAUGCUGUAUGAAGGCAUCAAACAUCUAGUAUACGAUUCAUAUUCUUCUGAGUAAAGUAUACGUUCUUCAGACGGUCGCUUCUUCAAGUUUUAUAGACAGGGACGCUAGUUACGAUGAGAUGAAUGCGGACACAGCGAUAGAUAAUCUACAAGCAUUUAACAUAGGCUCUGGGAGUAGCAUCGUUGGCAUUUAUGAUCACGUGAUGCUGUUAACAGGUUAUGACCUCUUUACGUUGGACAGUAACAAUGAUAAACAAAGUACCUUAGGGAUUGCUUUUGGUGAAACAAUGUGCCGAACAAACGGGAAGAGCUCUUCUGUGAUAGAAGAUCGCCAAGAAGAUCGCUAUUCUAUCUCUACUUCUCAAACGGUGGCACAUGAACUGGCACAUGG